rnacentral:ncRNA from 2 species
CACCGUGGGCGCUGUCGAGGUUCUCCGCACCGAAUCCGGUGGCGGAGCUAAGAGGGAAUUCGGUGCGACCUGCUUCCUUUCGGAAGCGCGCCAAUGCCGAAGCUGCCCCCGCAACUGUAAGCGGCGAGCAAGGGCCCAUUCGCGCCACUGGGAGGCAUCUCCUGGGAAGGCCGGGCCGUUGUGCUGACCCGUGAGCCAGGAGACCUGCCCCGACGCUGCGUGUCCU